AGAGAGCAUACAAGCGGGGGAGAGGGGCAGAGGGAGAUAGAGCAUCUUAAAAAUGUUCCAUGCUCAGUGCAGAGCCCAAUGCAGGACUCGAUCUCAUGGCCCUGGGAUCAUGACCUUAGCUGAAUCAAGAGUGGGACACCCAACCAAUGGAGCCAUCCAGGCAUGCUGAGAGAGACAGAGCAUGAACGGGGGAGGGUCAGAGAGAGGGAGACACAGAAUCCGAAACAGGCUCCAGGCUCUGAGCUGUCAGCACAGAGCCCGACGCGGGGCUCGAACUCACGGACCGUGAGAUCAUGACCUGAGCCGAAGUUGGCCGCCCAACCGACUGAGUCACCCAGGCGCCCCUCUCUCUCUCUCUUUCAAAAUAAAUAAACUUAUGGCCAACUAAUCUUUGACAAAGCAGGAAAGAAUAUUCAAUGGAAUAAAGACAGUCUCUUCAGCAAGUGGUGCUAGGAAAACUGGACAGCAACAUGCAGAAAAAUGAACCUGGACCACUUUCUUACACCAUACACAAAAAUAAACUCCAAAUGGAUGAAAGACCUAAAUGUAAGACAGGAAGCCAUCAGAAUCCUCGAGGAGAAAG